GAGGGCUACUGGAAGAAAAGGGGGCAGGAGAGCUUCUACCCGUAUGUGGAGGUAGUUUUCACCAUCACCAACGAGACCCACAAGUUCCACGUCCCCCUGCUGCUGACCCCCUGGUCCUACACCACGUACCGUGGGAGUUGACCGCCAGCUGGCCUUGAGCACCGAUCCCAUCACCGUGGCCCCUGACCCACCCCCAGCCCUCCACAGUGGGUUCCAUGCUCAUCAUGGGGCCUCAGGCCCCACUUUCUGUGGGGGGUUCUGGCCCCCCAUUUCCCAGUGGAACCUGUGACUCGGGCAUCAAUAAAGUCGGUGCUGGCA